rnacentral:rRNA from 1 species
AUUGAACGCUAGCGGGAUGCUUUACACAUGCAAGUCGAACGAGUGGCGGACGGGUGAGUAAUAUAUCGGAACGUGCCCAGUAGCGGGGGAUAACUACUCGAAACUGUGGCUAAUACCGCCUACUAUUGGAUCAGCCCAAAUCGGAUUAGCUAGUUGGUGGGGUAAAGGCUCACCAAGGCAACGAUCCGUAGCUGGUUUGAGAGGACGACCAGCCACACGGGGACUGAGACACGGCCCAGACUCCUACGGGAGGCAGCAGUGGGGAAUUUUGGACAAUGGGGGAAACCCUGAUCCAGCCAUCCCGCGUGUAUGAGAAGGCCUUCGGGUUGUAAAGUACUUUUGGCAGAGAGGCGGUAUCUGCAGAAUAAGCACCGGCUAACUACGUGCCAGCAGCCGCGGUAAUUC